AAUUCAACAGCAUUUCGACGCUUUACUUGUGUGCAUGUAUGAAAUGACCUAACGCGUGACGCCAACAUAUCGAUCUAUCGAUUGCACUAGUGCUGCCAGCCCUGCCAUCAGCUGUUACCGAUAUUGUAAAGCAAAAGGCGCCAAAUUUCUGUAAGAUCCAAAUAUUUGCGGCUUACUGUGUUAGUGAUUUUAUAUUUAGUAAUUGGUAAGCGACACAAACUAAUUAAUCAUACGCCCCCUAAGGCACAUAAAUUAAUCAAAUCGUUUGCAGAACUUUACGCCCUGACACACAUUUGAAAUUGCCGAUAGCAGUUGUUCGGUUCUUUUCCUAUUUCUCGCUCUUGCAAAAACAGCUCUCUUUUCGUUUUGGUUUGCUAAUUUUCUUUCACAUUCUUCCGGCGUAGUCCUCAAUUAUUUUAUUCUGGGUCUGCCCGUGUACUAACAUAUGUACAUACGCAUUUACAUAUAUGUGUAUGCACAUUGCAUCUGUCGCUACUUUUUCUGUGUUUUUUUUUUUUGUUAUCCGCCUUGAACUUGCAAAUUUUGAAUGAGUUCGAGGAGUGCGGUAUGGUUCUCGCAUAACUGUGCUAUUCGCCCUCUCUGUCAGUCUUCUAAUAUUCACACCCACAGUUUCGCAAGUGGCUUUCUUCGCUUUUCCUCCCCUUAUUCUUUGCUUGUGCUGUGCUUUGCUUUGGGAAUUAAUUUUAAUUAAUUUAAAGCGAGUCAUGUGCCGAUGAACAGACCUAGAACCGUUAUCUAUUGGAUAUGCCCAAAGCGCGAGCAACUCACGUAUGUAUGUAUGUACAUCCAUAUAUACAUGUAUGCAUAGUAACAGUCGCGGCCAAAAUUUUAGGGCUAAACAAUAAAUGGCCGGUAUACAUAUUGAAGAUUUGUGACAUUGAAGAUAAUCUAUAAAUAUUUGGUUUGCGGGCUAAAAAACACGCUUUAAAAGCAAAGUUUAUAUUUUUGAAAAACGCCUGCACGAAUGAAAUGGGCCAAUAUUUUCUCUGUGCAAGUGGGCGGAGCAUCGCAAAGGAUAAAGUCGCAACCGAACUCAUGGCGUAUACGUAAUAUGAGGGCUGUCUCGCUUACUGGUCUUACUACUGGCGCUUGAUGCAAUAGAAUUGCAAAUAUUUUCCAACGAUUAAAAUGCUUGAUAAUUGCUAAAUUAAAACGCGCUGGGAGCCCGCUCGAUCUGCGGUUAGCCAGCGGACUCCAAAGCGAACUCAUACCGGGCAAUGGAGACUCGGACUUAGUUCCAAGCAUUUGCGAGCAAAAAGAUACUGACACUCGCUGCGAGUGCGAUCGAGAGGGAAAAUGCCGGACGACGGGCGCCAGAAAGGGAUGGCCACAGUCGGCUGGGGCAAUGGCGACGCUGUUUGAAUAAUUUGCGUUUUACUCGCAAUUGAAAAUAAAUCAGAAAUUAAUUCUUGGCUCACACACAUACAUAUGGAACGAUAUAGAGAGGACUUUGCUGGUAUCUGCUAUCUCACUUUGCUUCAUAAAAGUGUCGCGCUUAAUUUUUUUUUUGCUUUUUUUUCAUUUUUAAUUGAGGCGGCGCUCGAAGUAAACAAAAUGGUUGGGAGGGAAAAACACAUGAAAGCACAAAGAAUUCAGUUGAUGAUAAAGACCUAGAGAUACCCUGGAAUAGCAGUUGAAUUCUUUAA